rnacentral:rRNA from 1 species
AGCUCCAAUAGCGUAUAUUAAAGUUGUUGCGGUUAAAAAGCUCGUAGUUGGAUUUCUGUCUAAAGCGGCCGGUCUCCACUAUGUGGGUGUAUCUGGUUCGGUUUGGGCAUCCUCUUGGGGAACGGUUCUGCGCUUGAUUGCGUGGGCCGGAAUUCAAGACUUUUACUUUGAGGAAAUUAGAGUGUUCACGGCAAGCUAUCGCUUUGAAUAUGUUAGCAUGGAAUAAUAAUAUAGGGCGUGAGUUCUAUUUUGUUGGUUUCUAGGAUUUACGCAAUGAUUAAUAGGGACAAUUGGGGGCAUUUGUAUUAAGGCGUCAGAGGUGGAAUUCUUAGAUUGCCUUACGACAAACUACUGCGAAAGCAUUUGCCAAGGAUGUUUUCAUUGAUCAAGAACGAAAGUA